GGCGGCAGCUAGCUCUCUGCAACUCUCACAUGGUUGCCCACUGAAGCUAAGCAGGGCUGCGCCUGGUCAGUACCUGAAUGGGAGACCACAUGGGAAAGCUGGGUUGCUGCCGGAU
rnacentral:rRNA from 1 species